GAAGCAAGCCAGACCGCCGCCGGGGCGAGGCCCGCAAGGGCGCCCGGGAGGAAGGUCCGGACUGCACAGAGCAGCGCAGCAGCUAACGGCUGUCCACCGCGAGGUGAGGAUCAGAGCAACAGAGACGAGUCGCGCCGGGCCUGCCCGGGGCGGGUGAAACGGGCAAUCUCUGCGCGCAGCAACACCGAAUAGGCACGUGUCGAUCCGGCUCGGGGAGCGUGCGGGUAGGUGGCAUCGAGCCCCGCAGCGAUGCGGGGCCCAGAGGAAUGGCGGUCACGGCCGGCCGGCCGCAAGGCCGGACGGCUGCACAGAAUCCGGCCUAUCGGCUCGCUUCACAC
rnacentral:RNase_P_RNA from 1 species